rnacentral:lncRNA from 1 species
UGGCAACGGGGCAAAAGUUGCUGCUGUGGCUGUGGGCACCUACCAUCUGCGACUACCGUCUGAUUUUAGUUUAUUACUUAGAGACUGCUAUUAUGUACCUGCUGCUAGCAGAAAUUUGAUUUCUGUUUCAUGUCUAACACAGGAAGGUCAUAUUUUUACAUUUGACAAAGAUUGCUGUUCUAUUUAUUUCAGAAAUAAAAUAGUCGCACGUGGUUUUAUGAUUGAC